rnacentral:rRNA from 1 species
UACGAAGGGGGCUAGCGUUGCUCGGAAUUACUGGGCGUAAAGGGCGCGUAGGCGGCACUGUUAGUCAGGCGUGAAAGUCCUGGGCUCAACCUGGGAACUGCGCUUGAUACGGCAGAGCUAGAGGAUGGAAGAGGCUCGCGGAAUUCCCAGUGUAGAGGUGAAAUUCGUAGAUAUUGGGAAGAACACCGGUGGCGAAGGCGGCCAUCUGGGACAACACUGACGCUGAGGCACGAAAGCGUGGGGAGCAAACAG